rnacentral:rRNA from 1 species
UACGUAGGGCGCAAGCGUUGUCCGGAAUUAUUGGGCGUAAAGAGCUCGUAGGUGGCUUGUCACGUCGGGUGUGAAAGCGUUGGGCUUGAACUCCAGGUCUGAUUCGGAUACGGGCUGGCUAGAGGUAGGUAGGGGAGAACGGAAUUCCUGGUGUAGGCGGUGAAAUGCGCAGAUAUCAGGAGGAACACCGGUGGCGAAGGCGGUCUCUGGGCAUUACCUGACGCUGAGGAGCGAAAGUGUGGGAGCGAACAGG